rnacentral:lncRNA from 1 species
AGCUCGCCAAGGCCUAAUGCACCAUAUGAGAAGAGGUCGCCUCACAUCCAGAAUCCUUUGAAGAGUACUAACAACACAAACGCCAACAGGAAAGAACUUCAGGAUGACUUUCCAUAAUGACAAAGCUCAUUCCUGCUCGCAUCUCCAUCCCAUGGUGUUUGGGGACUUUCUCCGAGUUAAAUGAAUUGCAGCUUGAAUCUACACAAUACGAAUAGCACUGACUAUAAUCAUCAGUAAUGAAAAAAACCAAGAUACGUAGCAUAAGAAUUUACCCCAUCAAAGAUAAGGUACAAAUGCAUAAACAUCAUUUCCACCAGUUGGACCACAAUGAACAGACGCUUCAUUAGCUGGCUGAUGAUAUAGAAAAGAACAGACUUGGAGAAGUAAGCAAUUAGCAAUACUUCCCUUGUUUGUGUUUAGGAACAGAAUUGAUGCUAACGGAAUGAUGUUGAAAAGGUGUGAGUGCCUAAACUACAGAACAGAGAGAUGUAUUUGUUACUUGGGUAUUUCACAAUAUCCUAUUAGCAAAAUCAGCAAUAGCGGAUAGUUUGCAAGGAGGUCAAUUUCAACUUUACAAAUCCAAUGCCACAUACACAUGAGAGGUGAGCCUAUCAAAUCAGAAACCUACAUGAGAAUAUUUACGAGAUAUUAUCACACUAAUAAACUGAUAGAAAUGAAGGAGAUUGUCAUCAUGCAUACUUGCAUACUAAUUUCAAGUGAAAUUACAUAGCUCAUAUAGUCUAAGCACACAAGUAAGUCUUUCAUGGUACAACUAGCACUGCAUACCUCUCCCUUCAAAGCCUUAUCGAGUUAGAGAGUGAUAUAUUUAGAAUGCAACUUUAUCAAACAACUCUGCAACAUGGUAACAUACAAAAAGUCAGUAGCUACGUGUUUGAUUAACAGAGAGAUAGAACCUAAUGAGCAUAGAGAAAGCAUAGUUAAUUGAAAAAAAUACAUUUACAAUCGUUCAGGUACGUACUGUUGAGACAUGAUCAAGUGUUCGAAUAUUCACAAGCAUCAAAACAUCCUCAGGACACUCCAGUUGGCCCCAGAGCGUCUUCAAGGUUGGCACAGAAAAUGGUCCUCAGCUGCUGUAAUGGAAUUUGAAGUUCCUCAGCCAAGUUAGAACUAGUAAUCGUGUUAACAAAUCUCAUUUUAUGCUUCAAUUCACAUAUAGAACCACCUGCACAUGCAAUCUUCCUGAAAGUGAUUUGUCAUUCAGCCUUUGCCAACAGAGAGGACAAUGCCAAAGGUUGCAUAGGACUAAAACACCACAUGAGAAGAGGUUGCUUUAUAUCAAGAAUCCUUUGAAGAGUAUUAAAAACACAGAGCACAUGAUAAACGCCAUUAGCAAGGAAUUUCAGGAUGCAUUUCCAUAAUGACGUAGCUCAUUCCUGCAGUGUUUUGGGACUUUCUCCGGGUUUCAUGGAAUGUAGCUUCAAUCUACACAAGGAAGAUAGCACUGACUAAUUAUCAAUAAAUGAAGAUAUCUGAGAUCCUAGCAUCACAAUUUACACCAUGAGAGAUAAGGUAUAGUUGUGUAAACAUCAUUGACACCAAUUGCAGUUGGACGACAAUGAACAGAGACUUCAUUAGCUGGCCGAUGAAAAAGAAACCAACAGGCUCAAUAGAAGUAAGCAAUUAGCAACAACUUUCCUUGUUUGUGUUUAGGAACAGAAUUGAAGUUAAUAAAAUUAUGUUGAAAGGGUGAAGUGCCUAAACUAUAGAACAGAAAGAUGUAUUUGCUACUUGGUUAUUUUGCAAGAUCCAAUUAGCAAAAUCAGCAAUAUAGGAUUGUUUGUGAGGAGGUCAAUUUCAACUUUACAAAUCCAAUGCCGCAUACAUAAGAGCUGAGCCUAUCAAAUCAGAAACCUAUCUGAGAACAUUUAGAGGAUAGUAUCACACUAGUAAACUGACAGGAAUGAGGAAAUUGUCAUCAUGCAUACUUGUGUCCUAAUUUCAAGUGAAAUUCCACAGCUCAUAGAGUAUCAGCACACAAGUUAGUCUUUCAUGGUACAACUAGCAGUGCAUACCUCCCCCUUCAGAGCCUCGUCAAGUUUAGGAGUGAUAUCAUUAGAAUGCGACUGUAUCAAGCAA